rnacentral:rRNA from 1 species
UGCAUGGCUUUACAGUCAAAGGUUGACUCCGGUCGGGGAUGAGUUCGCGCCCCAUCAGCUUGUCGGUGAGGUAACGGCUCACCGAGGCGAAGACGGGUAGCUGGUCUGAGAGGAUGGUCAGCCACACUGGGACUGAGACACUGCCCAGACUCCUACGGGAGGCUGCAGUCGAGAAUCAUCCGCAAUGGGCGCAAGCCUGACGGUGCGAUGCCGCGUGAGGGAUGACGGCCUUCGGGUUGUAAACCUCUGUCAGGGGGGACGAAGAAGUGACGGUACCCCCAGAGGAAGCCACGGCUAACUACGUGCCAGCAGCCGCGGUAAUACGUAGGUGGCGAGCGUUAUUCGGAUUUACUGGGCGUAAAGGGUCCGUAGGGGGUCUGCCAAGUCUGGUGUGAAAUCCCGCAGCUCAACUGCGGACGUGCACUGGAAACUGGUGGACUUGAGUCCAUGAAGGGAGAGCGGAAUUCCUGGUGUAGCGGUGGAAUGCGUAGAUAUCAGGAAGAACACCGGCGGCGAAGGCGGCUCUCUGGCAUGGUACUGACCCUGAUGGACGAAAGCGUGGGUAGCGAACAGGAUUAGAUACCCUGGUAGUCCACGCUGUAAACGUUGUGCACUAGAUGUGGGGGGUCCUUUGGUCCCCUCCGUGUCCAAGCUAACGCGAUAAGUGCACCGCCUGGGGACUACGGCCGCAAGGCUAAAACUCAAAGGAAUUGAGCGGGGGCCCGCACAAGCGGUGGAGCAUGUG